UUAAGUUAAUAAGGGCGCACGGUGGAUGCCUUGGCACUAGAAGCCGAAGAAGGACGUGACUAACGACGAAAUGCUUUGGGGAGCUGUAAGUAAGCGCUGAUCCAGAGAUGUCCGAAUGGGGGAACCCACUAGUUAAUGACUAGUAUCCAUAUCUGUUAAGGAUAUGAGAAGGAAGACGCAGUGAACUGAAACAUCUAAGUAGCUGCAGGAAGAGAAAGCAAAAGCGAUUGCCUUAGUAGCGGCGAGCGAAACGGCAGGAGGGCAAACCGAAGUGUUUACACUUCGGGGGUGUAGGACUGCGAUAUAGGAUUAAUCAUUAUAGAAGAAUUACCUGGGAAGGUAAGCAAAAGAGAGUAACAGCCUCGUAUUUAAAAUGAUAGAUUAACCUUAGCAGUAUCCUGAGUACGGCGAGACACGCGAAAUCUCGUCGGAAUCUGGGAGGACCAUCUCCCAACCCUAAAUACUCUCUAGUGACCGAUAGUGAACCAGUACCGUGAGGGAAAGGUGAAAAGCACCCCGGGAGGGGAGUGAAAUAGAACCUGAAACCGUGUGCCUACAACAAGUUCGAGCCCGUUAAUGGGUGAGAGCGUGCCUUUUGUAGAAUGAACCGGCGAGUUACGAUAUGAUGCGAGGUUAAGUUGAAGAGACGGAGCCGUAGGGAAACCGAGUCUUAAUAGGGCGCCAUAGUAUCAUGUUGUAGACCCGAAACCAUGUGACCUACCCAUGAGCAGGUUGAAGGUGAGGUAAAACUCACUGGAGGACCGAACCAGGGCACGUUGAAAAGUGCUUGGAUGACUUGUGGGUAGCGGAGAAAUUCCAAACGAACUUGGAGAUAGCUGGUUCUCUCCGAAAUAGCUUUAGGGCUAGCGUCGAUGUUAAGUCUCUUGGAAGGUAGAGCACUGUUUGGGUGAGGGGUCCAUCCCGGAUUACCAAUCUCAGAUAAACUCCGAAUGCCAACGAGAUAUAAUCGGCAGUCAGACUGCGAGUGCUAAGAUCCGUAGUCGAAAGGGAAACAGCCCAGACCACCAGCUAAGGUCCCAAAAUAUAUGUUAAGUGGAAAAGGAUGUGGGGUUGCACAGACAACUAGGAUGUUAGCUUAGAAGCAGCUAUUCAUUCAAAGAGUGCGUAAUAGCUCACUAGUCGAGUGACCCUGCGCCGAAAAUGUACCGGGGCUAAAACAUAUUACCGAAGCUGUGGAUGACACAAAAGUGUCAUGGUAGGAGAGCGUUCUAUGUGUGAAGAAGGUGUACCGUGAGGAGCGCUGGAACGCAUAGAAGUGAGAAUGCCGGUAUGAGUAGCGCAAGACAGGUGAGAAUCCUGUCCACCGUAAGACUAAGGUUUCCAGGGGAAGGCUCGUCCGCCCUGGGUUAGUCGGGACCUAAGGAGAGACCGAAAGGUGUAUCCGAUGGACAACAGGUUGAUAUUCCUGUACUAGAGUAUAUAGUGAUGGAGGGACGCAGUAGGCUAACUAAACCAGACGAUUGGAAGUGUCUGGUCAAACAGUGAGGUGUGAUAUGAGUCAAAUGCUUAUAUCUUUAACAUUGAGCUGUGACGAGGAGCGAAGUUUAGUAGCGAAGUUAGUGAUGUCACACUGCCAAGAAAAGCUUCUAGCGAUACAUAUACUCUACCCGUACCGCAAACCGACACAGGUAGUCGAGGCGAGUAGCCUCAGGUGAGCGAGAGAACUCUCGUUAAGGAACUCGGCAAAAUGGCCCCGUAACUUCGGGAGAAGGGGCGCUGAUUUUAGAUCAGCCGCAGUGAAUAGGCCCAAGCAACUGUUUAUCAAAAACACAGCUCUCUGCUAAAUCGUAAGAUGAUGUAUAGGGGGUGACGCCUGCCCGGUGCUGGAAGGUUAAGAGGAGUGCUUAGCGUAAGCGAAGGUAUGAAUUGAAGCCCCAGUAAACGGCGGCCGUAACUAUAACGGUCCUAAGGUAGCGAAAUUCCUUGUCGGGUAAGUUCCGACCCGCACGAAAGGCGUAAUGAUUUGGGCACUGUCUCAACGAGAGACUCGGUGGAAUUUUAGUACCUGUGAAGAUGCAGGUUACCCGCGACAGGACGGAAAGACCCCAUGGAGCUUUACUGCAGUUUGAUAUUGAGUAUCUGUACCACAUGUACAGGAUAGGUAGGAGCCUAUGAUAACGGGACGCCAGUUUCGUUUGAGGCGUUGUUGGGAUACUACCCUUGUGUUAUGGCUACUCUAACCCAGAUAGGCAAUCCCUAUCGGAGACAGUGUCUGACGGGCAGUUUGACUGGGGCGGUCGCCUCCUAAAAGGUAACGGAGGCGCCCAAAGGUUCCCUCAGACUGGUUGGAAAUCAGUCGUAGAGUGUAAAGGUAUAAGGGAGCUUGACUGCGAGAGCUACAACUCGAGCAGGGACGAAAGUCGGGCUUAGUGAUCCGGUGGUUCCGUAUGGAAGGGCCAUCGCUCAACGGAUAAAAGCUACCCUGGGGAUAACAGGCUUAUCUCCCCCAAGAGUUCACAUCGACGGGGAGGUUUGGCACCUCGAUGUCGGCUCGUCGCAUCCUGGGGCUGUAGUCGGUCCCAAGGGUUGGGCUGUUCGCCCAUUAAAGCGGCACGCGAGCUGGGUUCAGAACGUCGUGAGACAGUUCGGUCCCUAUCCGUCGCGGGCGUAGGAAAUUUGAGAGGAUCUGCUCCUAGUACGAGAGGACCAGAGUGGACUUACCGCUGGUGUACCAGUUGUCUUGCCAAAGGCAUCGCUGGGUAGCUAUGUAGGGAAGGGAUAAGCGCUGAAAGCAUCUAAGUGCGAAGCCCACCUCAAGAUGAGAUUUCCCAUGAUUUUAUAUCAGUAAGAGCCCUGAGAGAUGAUCAGGUAGAUAGGUUAGGAGUGUAAUUGUGGUGACACAUUUAGCGGACUAAUACUAAUAGCUCGAGGACUUAUCC
rnacentral:rRNA from 1 species